AUAACGACUCUCGGCAACGGAUAUCUCGGCUCUCGCAUCGAUGAAGAACGUAGCGAAAUGCGAUACUUGGUGUGAAUUGCAGAAUCCCGUGAACCAUCGAGUCUUUGAACGCAAGUUGCGCCCGAAGCCAUCAGGCCGAGGGCACGCCUGCCUGGGCGUCACGCAUCGCGUCGC
rnacentral:rRNA from 1 species